UCCGGAAGACGCACAGUCUCUUUGCGCAUGCUCACUGCCGCCAGAUUGUCGGCGUUUGCUUUUCGGCGCAGUGCUGAAGCGGAUCGUCUGCGGGAUCGGGAAGGGACGAUCGCCUCCUUGAUCGGGGAGCCAGGGGUCGGGAUCACUAUUUACGGGCUGAAGAUGUCACUUUCUCAUCGUUAGACCUGCGCUGAGAGAUUUAUUGGAAGAAAAACCCCAACUGGAAGCAAACCACGACUGAAGACGAGGGAACAGCAACAAGUAAACCAGCCCGAGGAUUGAGAGCUUCAACUGGAGAGAACCCAUCUGACUUGGAGAAAACAGUGUCUCAGUCAGGAGAAAGUUUGGAACCCCUCUGUUUCUGGGAAGAGGUCUCCAACUCUCAGUCAGGUGCUCGAUGCUUCCUUGUCAACAUCUGGUCUGCUCAGAUCGUUGGGAUGUCUCCCAUGGAGGGUCAUACUCAUUCCACUGGUUAAUCUUUUCUUCCAUAGUGAUGAUUCAUUUUUCUGAGUGGGCCUCUCAUUUAAGUUUUCUAGUCUGUAUUUUAUUGCAUAUGCUGAAUCCUGUACAUUUUUGAUGAAAAUAUAUACUUAGAAGCUUUAUCUGACUGUUGUGUAUUUUUUUUUUCAUGUGUGUUAUUUCUCUUCCUCCUUCUGACCAAGGUAGUGUUAAUCUAAGUGGGUCUGUCUGUAAAUAGUCUUUUCUAAAGUUCUUAUUUUUCUUUGUGUAUUUUACAGAUUGAAAUGGGACCAAGAUAUUUCUAUAAAAAAAUUCAAUGUCGGUAUUGAUGAAAGAAGUACUUGCUUUUGUUGUGUUUGUUAACUACUGAGCUCUGUUUGACAGGUUUUUUUAAGCCUUGAACUAAAUUUUCUCAAAGUUUUUUUUCCCUAUUUCGCAGUACUUUCUACUUUCUUUGCUUGUUGAUAUUCCAGAUAGGUGGGUAUCAAGAGUCCCGAUGAAGGAUCUUGACCCGAAAUGUUGAUUCCCAUCCAUAGAUGCUGCCUGACAUGCUGAGCUCCUCCAGCACUUUGUGUGUAUUUCUCUAGAUUUCUAGCAUCUGCAGGUCCUCUUGUUUCCCAGAUGCUUACAAGUUUCUUGAAAGAACAAGCUGGUAGUGGGGUUGUGUGGCUCUGUUGGUAAAAUAUUAAAUAAAAUCAUUAGAAAGAGGUGACAUAGGGUUGGAAGGUGUAGAAUCUGUGGGUAGAAUUAAGGAACAGCAAAUGUAAAAAAAAAAGAAUCCCUGAUGGGAAUUGUAUGGAGACCUCCAAACAGCAGUAAGUAUGUAGUCCACAAAUUACAAUGGGAGAUAGAAAAUGCGUGCCAAAAGGGCAAUGUUACAAUAGUCAUGGGGGAUUGUCAUGCAGGUGAUUAGGAAAAGUAGGAUGGUGUUGGUCUCAAGGAGGAAUUCCUAGAAUGCCAACAAGAUGCUUUUUUGGAGCAGCUCGUGGUUGAGCCCACUUGGGGAUCAGCUAUUCUGGAUUGGGUGUUGUAAUGAACUGGAAUUAAUUAGGUCACUUAAGUUGAAGGAACCCUUAGCGACAAGUGAUCUUAAUAUGAUCAAAUUCACCCUGACAUUAGAGAAGGAGAAGCUAAAAUCAGAUGUGGAAUAAAGAGAAUUGGAGAGGCAUGAGAGAAAUAUUGGUCAAAAUUGAUUUGAAAGGAACACGGGCAGGGAUGAAAACAGUGCAGCAAUGGCUGGAAUUACUAGAAGCAAUUCAGAACGCAGGGGAUAUAUACAUCACAAAGAGGAAGUUGUUUUCUAAAGGUAAGGGGACAAAACGUGGCUGAUAAGAGAAACUAAAGACAACAUAAAAAUCAAAGAGAGGGCACAGCGCAAAAAUUAUGAGGAAGUUAGAAGAUUGGGAAGCUUUUAAAAACUAACAGAAUGAACAAAUAAUUUAAAAAAGGAAAGGAUGGAAUACAUAGGUGAGGUAGCCAGUAAUAUUAAAGAGGAUACCAAACUUUUCUUCAGGUACAUAUAGUGUAAAAGAGAGGUGGAAGUGGAUGUUUCACCAAUGGAAAAUGAUGCUGGAGAGGUAGUAAUGGGCUGGGGGUGCAAGGUGAUGGCAGAUGAACUGAAUAAUUAUUGUACAUCACUCUUAUCUGUCGAAGACACUGGCAGGAAUAUGGAAGUCCCAGGUGUCAGUGAUCAGAAUGUGUAAAGUUACAUUACUCAGGAGAAGGUUCUUGGGAAACAGAGAUGGUCUGGAUGUAAAUAGGUCACCUGGACCAGAUGGUGCACACCCCAGAGAUCUGAAAGAGGUGGCUGAAGAGAUGUGGAGGCAUCAGCAAUGAUCUUUCGAGAAUCGUUAAGGAAAUUAUAUACUAAGAAGUUUUUUCCUUCAUUACUCCCCCUCUGCUAGUUUCACCUAUCACCUACCACUUCUUCUACCCCUCCAGCCCCUACAUUUCUUCCUCUAACACCUCAUCUUUUUUUUUCCCAGUACUGAUUAGGGGUCUCGGCCGAAACCUCGACUGUUUACUAUUUCCCAUAUACGCUGCCCGGCAUCCCGGGUUCGUCCAGCAUUCUGUGUAUGUGUUGCUUGGAUUUCCAGCAUCCACAGGUUUUCUCCUGUUUUUGAUAAAAACAAAAGUGGUGUCAUAUAAUAUAGCAAGAAAAUAGUGGGAAGUUAGAGGACUGGAAAGCUUUUACACAACCAACAGGAGACAACUAAAAAAAAACACACAGGAGAGACAAGAUGAAAAAUUAAGGUAAGUGAGCCAAUAAUAUCAAGUAUCAAAAGUUUUACAGAUUUAUAAAGAGUAAAAGAGAGGCAAGAGUUGAUAUUGUACCGCUGGAAGAUGAUGCUGGCGAGUUAGUAAUAGAGUAAAGAAAUAGCAGCUGAAUGUAAUAGUAUUUUUUGUGUCAGUCUUCACUGUGUAAUACUCUAGCAGUAUAAGACCAUAAGACAUAGGAGCAGAAUUAGGCCAUUCAGCCCCAUCGAGUCUGCUCCGCCGUUCUAUCAUGGCUGAUCCCGGUUCUCACUCCACCCCAUGCACCUUCCUCCUCGGCAUAUCCUGUAAUGCCCUGACUGAUCAGCAAACUAUUAGCUUCUGCCUUAAAUGCACCCACGGACUUGACCACCACCGCCGUGUGUGUCAGAGAAUUCCACAGAUUCACUGCUCUCCGACUAAAUAAGAUCCUCCUUAACUAUUCUAAAAUGUCGCUCCUCAGUUUUCGGCUGUGCCCUCUGUUAUGGCUACCCCCACCAUACAAAAAGCCCUCUCCUCAUCCACCCUAUCUGGACCUAUCCACAUUCGGUGGGUUUCAGUGAGAUUUACCCCCCACCACCCGCAUUUAUUAAACAUAGGUCAGUGCAGGAGUACAGGCCCAAGGCUGGCAAACGCUCCUCAUAUCUUAACCCCUUCAUUCCCGGAAUCGUCUUCUUGAACAUCCUCUGGACUCUCUCCAACAACAACACGCCUUUUCUGAGAUAUGGGUCCGAAAUACUCUAACUCUAAUACGAUGUUGGCCUUCAUUGCUAGAGAGAUUGAAUUCAAGAGCAGGGAGGUCAUCCUGCAACUAUACAGGGUACUGGUGAGGCCGCGCCUGGAGUACUGUGUGCAGUUUUGCUGCCAUACUUGAAGAAGGAUGUACUGGCUUUGCAGGCAGAGCAGCGGAGGUUCACCAGUUUGAUUCCAGGGAUGAAGGGGUUACCCUAUGAGCAGAGAUUGAGUCGCCUGGGACUGUACUCUCAGGAAUUCAGAAGAAGGAGAGGGGAUCUUAUAGAAGCAUACAACAUUUUGAAAGGGAUAGAUAAGAUAGAAGUAGGAAAGUUGUUUCCAUUGGUAGGAGAGACUAGAACUAGGGGACAUUGCCUCAAGAUUCAGGAGAGAAGCUUUAGGACGGAGAUGAGGAGAAACUGUUUUUCCCAGAGAGCAGUCAAUCUGUAGAAUUCUCUGCCCAGGGAAGCAUUUGAGGCUUCCUCACUAAGUAUAUUUAAGAUACAGUUAGAUGGGUUUUACAUAGUAGGGGAAUUGAGGGUUAUGGGGAAAAGGCAGGGAGAUGGAGCUGA